AAAAUUCUUAGACUUUAUCUACAGUAUUAGUAAUGAAGUUAAAAACAGACGUAAAAUAAGCUUCGUUGGAUAAUAAAUCUUGAACGCGGCGGGGAACGCAUUGUGAAUGUUCCUUCGCAAUGUCACUAAUAUCACUAACAAGUAUCAGCCGUUGAAUGUUGAAAUUUUGACAGUCAAAUAUAAUGUGUUUUAUGUCUGCAUUGUCUUGAAAACAGUAUUUACACUUAUUGUCACUAAUAAUAUUGAGUCUGUUGAGGUGAACUGGAACUAAGCAAUGCCCGAAACGAAAACGAUUGAUGAUCGUAAUAAACUUCCUGCCGCAGUAUUUAAAUUUGCUAUACCAAGGUUUAAUUGGCAAGGGGUUAGAAACAAUGCUGGAAGCUGAGAUAUUGGAGGAUACAACAGAAGAAAAUUCUACUGGAUAUAUAAUAUUAUUAAGGACCAUAUUUUUAUUGAAAGACAAUUCCUUCAAACAGAAACGUUGAGCCAAAUGUAAACGUCGGAGGGAUAAUGGAGGUCUAACUUCAUAUAUUGAUGGCUUCACAUUUACACGUACCUGAGUCGGAUAAUGAUAACUGCCCAUCGUGUCAUCAUGGACUUUCCACUCACAAAGAGGAGACAUUGAAGGACUAACUAAAGCUAAAUCUAUUGCUGAUGCUUGCCUGUUUGAGACUGGAAUAGUAGUCGGACUACCAUCAUUCAACACAUAUAAAUUGAAUUCAUCUAUAAGACUGAACAUAAUAUUACCUCUACUAUUGUUUGUGUUACAACCAAACAAAAUAUGAUGUGCGUUGAAAUCACCCAUAAUGAGACAUGGUUUAGGAGUAUCCAGAAGUACUUUUUUAAUUUUAUUGGUGUGAAACUUUCCACUAGGGGGACAAUAUACACACAGAAUAUGUAAUUUACCGAUAGAUGUUUCUAUUGAGAUGCAUAAAUUUUGAACAGCUUCAAAGAAAGUAGUAUUAAUAAUAUUAUAUUUAAAAUUUUUCUUAAUUAAUAUACCAAUUCCGUUGUGUGGAUUUGUAGAAUUUUUGAAAAUAAAAUUAUAUGAUGCAAACCUAGGAAUUUUACUAUUACUUUUAAACCAUGUCUCAUUAAGUAAGCAUAUAUCAAUAUUUUGUUCAGUAAGAUAUUUUUGUAACAGAACUUUUUUACUCUGUAAGCUUUGUAUGUUAAAUUGUGCUAUGUUUAUAUAUGUAUCCAUAAAACUAAGUUAAAUUAGACAAUAAUAUUUCUUUAAUUUUCUUAUGAGUUAUUGACAUUUUCUCAUUGUUGUUCCCAAGAGCAACAAGAGAUUUAACGAGAGCAUUAAUUAUAAUAUCAUUAUUUACAA